ensembl:lncRNA
UGGAUUUCUUGUUUUGAUUUUUUUUUAUUCAUUUCUAUUGGACGCCAUCCAAAAAUACUAGAAGAAUGACAUUUAGUCUCUUAGCCACAUUCAAAGGUGUUUAGUGUAAAUUUCUGGGAGUAAGAUCAAUGUCAGAACCAACCAACACAGAUAGUAGCAUUGUGAAUAAGCUGAAAACAUGACACUCGGGGUUUUGAAAAUAUUUUUUCCUGCAACAGAGACAUGUAAUUGCUAUAUGUACAUACUACUCCUUUCUGAUGUCAGUAGCUGUUGCUUUGAGAUGCCAAAAUUUGUCCGCAUUUUCUAGCUGAAAAAUAAAGAAUGGAAACCCAAUGCUGUUUGAUGUGAGUAGGUGCAAUUUGUACUAGAAAAAGCUCGAAGUUAUGAGAUUGGUAGGUAAGGGCCAGGUACUCAUGUUCAGAUGCUCAGCUCCAUGCUAAACAAAAGCUUCAAGUUUUCAAAAAAACAAAACAAAACAAACAACAACAAACCAACAAAAAAGAAAAAAAAAACAGUCUUAUCUAUUUAGGCUAACUCCUAAAAACAAAAUUUUAAACAGCAAAUUUCAGCUUAUUCUUCAAUAUAUGAGAAUUGCUCUGAAGGUAAUGACUCCUAUCUUAUGAUGUUGGCCCACAAUGGAAAAAAAAAAAAAAAAAAAAAAAAAGGCAUCCACUGACAUUUGCUGAUGCUUACUGAAUGUUUAUGGUGGCCAAACAAUGGUGGUGCGGUGGUGCAUUUUAGCAGUGGCAACAGCAACAUGAAAGAUAAGCCACGUUCCAGUUACAUGGAUUUUCACAAGCACAGCAUCCAGACUCUUGUUCAUUACUGGCAAAAAUGCAUAGCUUACAGCGGUAUCUAUUUUGAGAAAUAGUGUUUUAUAGCUGAGAAUUUUCUCUACUGAAUAGUUUUACUGUGCUCUUUGUAUCUGUUGUAGUUUCCAUGGAAAUAAAUAGGAGGCAUUACUUGUGGAGUGUCCUACGUACAUACACCAUUUAAAUUAGAAAUACAGAAAAAAAAACCAACAGGUAAUUCAGUUUCAGGAUAACCACACUUUGCCAGUGUGGUUAUUACAAUUCAGAAAUAAUUGUGCUUGCUUUUGUCUGCCCCUUCACCCCUUUCAGCUGUGUCUUCUAUGACCACUCAAUUUGAAAAUGCUACAUUCUGGUACAUUAUCUGAGGAACAAAAAUACUUUAUCUGGGCUUACUGCUUUUAUUCAACACCCAGAACAAUCUAUGUCUAUUCCUUUAAGCUCCUUGGGAUGUGAAAAAAUAUGGUUACAUAAAUCUUUGUAAUCCUGAGGGGAGGAUAGCAUAUAAAGAGUUUACUGGCGUUAGGAUUAAGUCUAGUGUAUUACAAUGCAAUCUUUAAUCUGCUAAAAUCUACCUUGGUGUUGCAAGCUGUUUUGUGCUUGUAGAUGAAGUUUUGGAAAUAGGACACAGCUGGCAACACUGAUAGAACACCUUAAAAAAGGAAGAAAAGAAAGAAAAAAGACAAAAUCGGUGAAUCUACUAAUGAACAGAUUUGCCACUGCUCCUUGUACAGUGGGCUCUUAUGAGUCUAAAAAAUGACAGAUGAUGGAGGAAAUCCUUGUAACUGAAACUAGGAAGAAACAGUCACUAAAGUUGAAAACACCGCCAUAGUCACCACAGAAAAUCACAAAUGUGAAGCAAAACCCAUGUAACAUUGCCGUGCAAGCUGCAAGAGUCUUACUUGGUUUUGAGAUUCAUCAAUCCAAAUGAAUGUAACAAAUGAGUCUUAGGUACCUAAGAAAAAUGAAAAAUUCCUCAUGCUGAAAGAGACUUUGUUCUCUUUUGAUAAAUCUGUAUGAAAUGAUAACAUUGCUGCAGUCAUGUGCUACUUCAGAGAAAAAAAAUGGGGAAAAUGGCUAUUUUUAGGCAUUUUUCUAAAGAACACCACAGUUCUACUAUUUGAACUUGUCUAUUCCCAGUCAAACAUUUUCCUGUCAAGCUACACAUUACUUCUUCUGAGUUUAAAGAUUCAAAACCAAUGUAGAUCAGCAAUUAAUGCAUAGGCCUAACUGGGAGAGAGGCUGGGGCACAGGUUUCUAGCUCUGCAGCCUUGGCUAAAGCAUUUUUUGGGCACAGCUAUGUGCUCAGGAAAGAAAACAAAAUAUAAAGAUUUGCUUAAGAGCUACUGUGACCUAUGACAGUUAAAUAUCAGAUUAAAUGAAAAUCUAAUUAGGGCCUUAGGUAUUAAAUACAGUUGACCAAGGGAAGCCAAUUGAUGUUGUCUAUUUUGGACCUGCGUAAAGCUUCAGAUACUCUUUCUCUCAGUAUCCUUCUGGUCAAAAUGUCCAGCACACAGCUAGACAAAAAAACAUAAAGCAAUGGAUGAGCAACUGGCUGAUGGUAUGGGUUGAAGAGUUAUGUAUAAUAAGCUACAGUAAAUGGGUUUACAUCAGGCUAGCCAGCCACUAGUGGGGUUCCUCAGGGCUCCAUUAUAGGGCCACUUCGCUUUAAUGUUUCCAUAAAUGACUUGGAUGUAGGACUAGAAGGUGUUUUGAGCAAGUUUGCUGGUGACACUAAAUUGAGAGGAGCUGCUCACUCCAUCACAGGUGGCAAGGCCUUGCAGAGAGGUCUAGACAAAUGAGAGAGCUGUGCAGCCACCAACUGCAUGAAGAGCAAGUGCCAGAUUCUGCACUUGGGAAGGGGCAAACCUGGCUAUACAUACAAACUGGGGGAUGAGAUGGUGAAGAGCAGACCAGCUGAAAUCUGUUCUGGUCAUGGUUGACAGCAAGUUUAGCAUCAGUCAGCAGUGUGCCCAGGUGGACAGGAAGGCCAAUUGUAUCCUGGGAUGCAUCAAGCAUGGUCAAGGGAAUGGAUUGCCCCACUCUACAUGGCCCUGGUGCAGCCUCACCUUGAAUACUGGGUGCAGUUUGAGGCACUACACCACAAAAAGGACAUAAAACUAAUAAAAAGUACCCAAAGGAGGGCUAAAAAUAUGGUGACAAGUCUAGAUGGGAAGAGAUAUGAGGAGCAGCUGAAGUCCCCCGGUUUGUUCAGCCCAGAGUAGAGAAUGAGGAGAAACCUCAUUGCAGCCUAUUGCUUCCUCACAAGGGGGAAUGGAAGAGCAGGUGCUAAUCUCUGCUCUCUGGUGACAGGAACAGGACCAGAGGGAGUAGCACGGAGCUACAUCAGGGAAAGGUCAGAUUGAUUGUCAAGAAAAUGUUCUUCAACAAGAGGUUAACAGGCACUGGAAAAGGCUCCCCAUGGAAGUGUAAUGACAUUGAGUUUGCCAGAGUUCAGUAAGCAUCUGGAAAAUGCUCUCAGUCCUAUGAUCUGAUUUUUGGGUAGUCCUCUGUGAAUCCAGGGGUUGGACUCAAUGAUCAUUAUGGGUCUCUUCCAACUUGGGAUAUUCUGUGAUUCUAUACUGUAUCUGAAAAAAAGAGAGUUCAUGUGGGCCUUUUCCAUAGCUGAGAGCCCUAUAGGAACCUCACAUAGUGCAUCAAAAAAUAAAUAAUUAAGGUUUUCCCUUAAGCUCUUAAGUGAUAUUCAAAUUCUGAAACUGAAAACUACUGUUUCGAACAAUUCAAAGUCUGAACAAAUUAUUAGACAUCAGCAUAAAAUUCUGUACUUUCCUGGAAUGCUGCCAGGGUGUUGAGUUUUUUUUUUACUUUUCGUUUUGUUUAAUGGAGAUGCAUAUUUUUCUACAGCUAGGGUUGUUCCAUCUGCCCUUGUCAAGCUUUAAAUAUACUAGAGCUCGUUAGAGCUAAAUAUAAGCCUUAAUACACAGACUUAUGUUUAUCUUAUAAAAUUAUGCAAAUUAUCCUGCACAUAAACUGAUAUUGAUCAGUAUUUCUGUUAGAUAAGUUAAGCUUUAAGCAAAAUAGUUCCAGUCUUAGAAGGAAGCCUUAGCAGAAAGGAGUCAUGAGACUUCAGAAUCUACAAGAUUGUAAAGUAGUAGCUUUUCCUUCUUAUUUACUAGUUUGCAUUUCCAAAGCACUACACAAUCGUGAACAAAUUAAUCUAAGGCAUUACAGUGAAUUUUACAGAUAAGGACAUUAAAAGCCUUUAGUAAAUGUUUAAUUGAAAUAACUGCCAUACGUUAAUUCCAAGAAACUUGUUUCAGUAUCAGAAAGAUUUAGCAAACAUCUAGUGAGAGUGAACUCAAUAUGCCCCAGUGCAGAGAAUCUCACGUGCACUACCCUUCUCCCUCAGCUAGAAAGAACUGCUUUGAAAUGACAUCUUAAGAGUAAAUGAGGAGCACACUAAGAAUGGAAAGAAAUUAAUAAUACACAAGCCUAUGGAAUAGACAGAGCAUGUGCAGAAACCAUAUUCUUUAUGGCUGCCCCUUAGGCAACAGCACAGCUUUGCAUGGAGAAAAAGCUUUCACUUGGUCCUCACAGUAGUUCUGAAUCUAACUUCCAAAUCAAAGGAUUUGUACUCCUUUAAGCAAGAGUGACUGUCACCCCCUCCAGAAUGGUAAGUUAAUUCUAAUCACUCAGUAAAAUCUGGCAGAGGAUAGCCUGUGGUGAACUCAAAGGUUUUCUCACAGAACUGUGUUUUAAUGUAAAGCAUCACCGCUUCUGCAUUCUGUCAUCUGCCAAUGGGAAUCCAAUUGCUUCAGGAUCCCUACUAAACACCACUGUCAUAAAAUAAACUUUUAUAUUAAACUUCUGUUCCUGUGCAGUCAUUUUUGAACAAAGUGUCUGGCAUUUAACCAAUUGGUCUUUUCCUGGGUAAAGGUCAUAGAGAAAGAAGGAGGAUGUGAUCCUUCACAUCCAAUUAUCCACAUCUCGAGACAUGUUAUACUGGAAGAUUUUUGCCACAUCUCAUCUAUUAGGAUAACCCUUUCCCUAGCACAAUACCAAACUGUUGUGUUUCUGGAACUGAUAUCCAAUAGUGAUUUCAGUAGAAAAGAGUGGAUGGAAAAAAAAUUAAAUCUACUAGGAAAAAUAGGUCUUCACAUUUCACAAUAACAUGCAUAUUGCUUAUUAGCAGGCAUUUAGGUCAUAUAUGCACAGAGAGUCUAGCAGUCCAGCCGUGUGACUAUCCAGCCAGAAGCACACCAUCAGUUGGGUGGGCAGACCCAAGAACGCUUGCACAUCCUCUGUCAGCCUGGUUUGUUUCCAUAGAUGACUUUUUAAGAAAUGUCUCUUAACUGAUACUUUUGGCUUCCUAUGCAUGACAAGGUUAUGUUUGAUAAGUGCAUAAAUACACUAUGGUAUUUUAGAUUUCUUGCUUACCCAGUUUUGGGGGACAAAAGAUCUCUGAGUAAAAAAGAAUCUGGGAUAUUUUGAGAAUAUUCUCCAAGGGGGAGAAAAAGGAAGGCAGGUGGCAGAGUGAGAGCUAGGAAGGAGAGAGCAGAAGGGUGAAUAAUAUUAUAUUACUAAUGAAUGAUGGCCUGCUGGUGUGAACUUGAAGUGUUUUAAGAUCCACCCCAUCAAAGCUGAGAUUACCUGAAAAAUAUUUUCCUGAAUCUCUAAAAUAUUCUCAAAGUUUUGUAUUUGCCUCUCAUUCUUCAGGGUAACAUCCUCAAUUUUGGAUUAAAAGUAAAGUAUUUAAUCCUGGAACUGUUGUUUAUUCAGGCAACAAGCUGAAUUUCAUUCUUAUAUUGGUUCUUCUUAAAUAAACAUAGAUGUAUACCUGGAAUACUGAAGAUAUAUCUUGCAAAACAAUGAAUGAUAAUAAACAAUGAUAUGCUAUGAUGAUAAACAGUGAAACUGCUUAGAUAGUAAAUAGGUGGCAUUCCUAAAAGAAGUAAAGCUAGACAUGGACCAGCUUUUGCUUCUUCCUAUAUAUCUGCCCUUAAUAUUUGUGGACUUUUUGUUAUAAGUGAAUUUAAUGAGUGUCAUUCUGCACAUUUACUAAGUAAGGCAACAGGCACUGUGCAUAUUGGUCUGUGCUCAGAUAAAAUUUCAGUUAAAAUAUAUAUAUGAAUAACCAAAUAUACUCACUACAAGAGCACAUUAAAAAAUGGAAAACAAAAAAACACUCUGUUGAAUACUGUCUGGCUCUGUUUUGUGAAGGCCUUCCCAAAUCCUCUCCUAUCUUCACAAAAUCAGGAUAGUAUAUUCUCUUAUGUCUUAGCAAAAUAAAAAUGAUACCUGGCAUUUCAUCUGCUUAGUUGGCUCUGCUGUUAAGGGAUUUAAUUCCUCUCAGCAGAUAUACAAAUGAGAACAUUUGUCUUAGUCCUAGAGACAGAAUCAUUUAUGUUACACUGCUUUGCAUUAUGUUAAUAAUUUCUAUCCUAAGUGAAGUCACAGGAAGUGUUUGUCACUAUCUCCAAUGGGACUCAAAUUUAUUUGAUGUAUGUUUAGUAUAUAUAAAGUUCAGUCAUUUCACUAGAGUUCUUAUAUUCAUAAUGGAUAACAUUUUUCUCCAAUGCUUUUUUGAAAGGAGGAAAAAAAUUGCAUGCAUGCAUAUUCAUAAAAUACUACCACAGAAGAAUUAGAAUUGUGUACAAUUUGAAAGAGUGCUGAAUUACAGGUGGGGUUAAAACAACUUCACAUUAGUGAAAUAUCGUAUGGUGGCUUUCAUUAUUGAUUCUCUGUCAACAUCACGUUAGUUCUUUUCUAAAUCAGUUCUGUGGCUUGAACUUGAAAAGACCAUGAUGCGGAGUCCACAGGUUCAUUCUAAUUGCUCCUUUUCCUGGUAGACUCCACUGUGCCAGCCUGUCACUCAUCAAGACCAUUUGUCUGUGAACAGACUUAAUUAAGCACCUCAAAUCCAAUUUCUUUGAUCUUUUACACUAUUAAGGAAACACACUCAGUCCAUCAGCUAUGGAGAGUUUUCUAAAGAAAAACCUCCUGAAAACACCCACUGGUGUUAUUCUCCUCUGUUGAAAUAGAAAGUUCAAAAACAAGCAGGUGAAUUAGGAAGGGAAAAUAAAAUAAUUGGAGAGACAACAAAAAAAUUGUUAAAUCCUAAAUAUUCAGAAGAUUUAAGGAGUGAUUUACAGCACUUAUCAACUCUUGCACUUUUUUUCUCUCUCAAGAGAGAAAAAUAUCCAGUAGAGACUUGAUUUAAAUAUAAAUGUUUAGUUACCCUCCUUUCAGAAUUUAGCAGGCAAUUGCAUUUGUUUUUGUGAAAGAGGUAUGCACUUUCAGCAUCCUUUCUCACUGCUCAAAUAUCCAGCACAUUGAUAGAAAUGGUCAGGUGGAAACACUUUAAAAAUAAAUAACCAGAGUUUCAUGAAAAUAAUUCAAGAGCUGCUUUUGGGCUUUUUUAUUAACAUUCUUGCCAUUUACACUGUAUUGACUUAAUUAUUUUCAGAUAAUAUUUACCUGUGUCUACUCUUAUAAUUGCAUCUUAUGCAAAACUGUUUGCAUUCAUAAAAAGAUCUUAUCUCGCAGCUUUGUGACAGAGAUUAUUCUGCACUCAAUGGCUACUCACUGCACCAUCAACCAGAAACCAAAUUCAUAAUAUAGAUUGUUGUGAGUAAUAACUUUUAAGGAUUUUUUAAUAAUUAAUUUAUUAAUAAUGAUUUCAUUCCACACUGGGAAAUAAGUUAUUUGUAUUUUAGAAAAUACUGCUGCUAAAGGUGUUUUUCUGAAAGAAGAUCACUAGCUAUAGUUCAUUCUAUUGUUGUCAGGUAUUUUUCAUGCCUUGUUAGCUAAUUUCCUCUUCUUACUGUCAGUUAAAUAUUUUCCAGAAUUUCAUGGUUAUGGAAUGGAGAUCAGACUUCUGCAGCCAUAUCUGAAGAGCAGCUCCUGUGUGACAAACACUUAACUGGUUAAAGAGUGUUUUACAACUCUACGUAAGGCUGAAUUAACCAGAUAAAUAUUCAGGCCUAAACAUGGUCAUGGUACAAAGUUGAUUUGAAACAGAUAAAAAUUGCUAAUUCGAGCUUUGUGAAAACUUUACACAUAUAUUUGUAUAUAAAAUAUUUAGUUCUCUCUUUAGUUUGAGACUAUUUCUUCUAUUAACAAUUCAUUAUGGUCUAUGUAACAACAUACGUAAAUGAAGUAGAAAUGUCUUCAGUGACUACUGGGAUUGCUCAGUCUGGAGAAGAGGCUCAGAGGAGACCUUAUUGCUCUCUAUAGCUACCUGAAGGGAGGAUGUCGUGAGCUGGAGGUCGGCCUCUUCUCUCAUGUAACUAGUGAUAGGACUAGAGGGAAUGGCCUCAAGUUACUCCAGGGAAGAGUCUGGCGGGACAUUAGGAAAUACUACUUUUCUGAAAGAGUCAUCAGGUGCUGGAAUGGGCUGCCACCCAGAGAGAUGGCGGAGUCACCAGCCCCGGAGGUGUUCAAGGAAUGUUUAGACGCUGUGUUGAGGGACAUAGUUUAGUGAGAACUAUUGGUGAUAGGUGGACAGUUGGACUGGAUGAUCUUGUAGGUCUUUUCCAAUCUUAGCGAUUCUAUGAUUCCAUACUUCAUUGUAUACUACGAUUAUAACUAUCCUCAGACAAAAAAAAAUUAUGUGGCAAAUGUAGUACAUUUCCUAUGUUCCUUUUAGAAGCACUUUUUUGUCCUUCAGAAAACAAAAAUCAGAUUUAUUUUAGAGUUUACUUUUCUUAAAUUCCUAUCAGAUAAGACAGAUAUUUAUGCUAGAAAGUAGUAUAGAGUUUAUUUAAUUACUUUUCCAGUUUCUAUUCUCUAUUCUAUUUCAGUUCUCUCUCAGAAUAUAAGGUACAUUUGGAAGUUUGAAGAACUGUAGGACAAAACUUAUGAUGAAAGCUGAAAACUGGCAUUAGAUUUUAUUAAAUAAAUCAUCACUGCAAGAAGGUAGAAAUAAUCCUGAGCAAUGCUGUAAAUUCCACGUAGUCUCAAUUUGUUCUCACUUCAUUUUGCAGUAGUAUUCACAUGUGCUAGCUCAUAAGAGUUGAUAUCACUGUUAGUUAUUGCUGUGCUUUCUUCUAAUUACCACCAAAUUGUGACCACAGCAAACUACAUAUGUUUUUUAAAAUAUCACUCUUUUAGUUCUUCAUCCUUGAUGCAAACAUGAUGAGAAAUGUAUCUAUGCUUAUUAGGUGUCUUACAGCAAGGCAAAGUUACCCAUAUUAAGUCUCAGGAGAUAGGACUUUCUUCUGACCCAGAUAUUUACAAAACUGGAAGUCAAAGUACAGCAACAUGAGCAAUUGGACAAGUCAUCAGUAAGAGCUAAUGAGAAACUGUGUAAAAUGACAUAAUUCUAUUGGAUACUGAGAUGGUAUCAUUAGUAUGUAUUAAAAGACUCAGAGAGGGUUAAAUUAAGAAAUGAUGUGCCACUUUUCAUUAUCCCAAGGAAGUCCUGUAUACAGUAUAUCAUUAGAAACUAUUUACUGAAGCAAAAUAUCAAGCACACAUUGUGUAUCUCUUGAAUCAAGAUGUCAUAAAUAAAUAUUUUCAAGACAAAAUAAGCAAACUUGCACUUCAGUAGGCCAUGAAUCUGACCUCUUUAUCAUGUACUUCAAAAUAAAAUCACUGACUUCUUUUUUUUAACAGCCUUUGCUCACCAUCCACUAGAAUUUUCUGACAAAAAUCCCCACAAGGGCUCUGAGUUAAGGCGGGCUGAGCUAGCUGACACAACCAACUCUGAUUUCCAUUCAGUAUUCAGCUAGUUCCAGUCACCAAAGGGUCUUAAAUUAAGGUAACAUGAGAUAAGAGGGAAGAUCCUCACUGGGAUAACUAACUAAGAGAUUGGAAACAAAGAGCUUCAAUAAAUGGUCAAUUUUCUCAGUGAAUAGAAGGCACCAGUGGUAUCCCACAGGGAUCUUCACUGGGGCCAAAGCUGCUCGACAUGCUCGGGGCUGAUCAGGAGAACAGAAUGGAGAGCAGAUUAAGUUUGCUGUUGCUACCAAGUUUUCAUGGUAAGAAAAACAGAAACUGACUGCUAAAAAGAGAGUUGAAGAAAGACUCUGUGGCACUGAGUGAUUGGGGAUAAAAUGGCAGACGACAUUCAGACUACACAAAUGUAAAGUAAUGAACUUGGCAAAAAACAGCUCAUGCUGUGCCCAGUGAUUGAUUCUGAAUUCACUGCUACAUCAGACAAAAUAACAGCCUUAUGAAAAUAUCAGUUCAGUAGCUCAGGAAUCAUUAUCAGAGGAAAAUCUCAGAAAAUGUAAUGUUUUUGUGCAAAGUCAAUGCUAUGAUCAUAUCUUGAUUGUUAUGUAUAAUUCUGGUCCUUUCAUCUAGAAAAAGCACAGAGUAGAAUUUGAAAAAAAGGUGGACAAAGAUGAUCAAAGGUAACCAAAUAACUCACACAGAAGGGUGAUCUGUAAGAGCUGGGGCUCUCAAUCUAGAAAAGAGCCAACACAGAAGCACGUAAAAAUCACAGCAGACAAAUAGGAGAAUAAGGGAUAAACGAGCUGCCUCUUGCAUUGCAACAGGAAAGCCUCAGCUGGAAAUGAGCAUGUGGAAGUUCAACAUCAAAAACCAGACUGUGCACAGCUCAGUCAAACCUCUCUAAGCCUUGGCCAGUGAACAUCACUGAGUUGUGAAGAUUAUUCAUUUUAAAGAUCAAAGUGAACAAUUGCUUGAAGAAGCUCCAACUAAGUCCAUUAACAUUCCUUUUCCUGGGAAUCUCUUUUUGUACAAAGCUCAAAAUCCAGCCAAAAUCAUCAUGCAUUCAAGUGAUCAAUGAAUGAGCACUACAUACGGCAAUGAGGUAAAUGUUUGGGAAUGACAAAAACUAGGUAAGUAAGAAAAGGUACACUGCUCUCCUAUUAGCACAUUUCACAUUAGAGAAGGAUUCCAAGCAGCUUAAAAACAGAAAAUUAUGCCACAAUUUUGCAGAAUAAGAAAAAAUCACUGCAUUGCUAAGAGAAGUUUAAGUGUUGCAUGCAAAUCUUCACGACAAUUGAUUCGCAAUGAAGUUUAUAUUCAUUUCAUGAUCAUUUGCCACUUGAUUACAUGGAGUUAACUCACAGAGGAACUGCCUUUCCAAAGUUUCCCAGUCAAACUUGUAAUGAAUACUCCCCUCAUUUUGACUGAACUAUUUUGCUUUUUAAGAGAAGAGAAGGCAUGAACAUCACAACUUUCUGAUCAGAAUUUUCUGCUCAACUUCAGGACGAUACAAAUACUGGUCCUAUUAAUUUGUAAUUGAUUUAGAAGAUAAUCUUCAACAUUUACAAACUGCCAGUGAAAAUAGCGUAAGGUUCUGACUGCUACAAGUAUAUACCUAAAUUUAAAAAUCUUGCCUCUGUAGUUGAUAUUAUUGAACUUCUCUGUACUAAGUUGUCAUCAAUUGCAUCUAUAAUGUAACUUAUUCCUAAGUAUUCUUUUUGCUAAAGAAAGGAACCCACUGAAAGACAAAACACUCACAUCAUCCUUAGCACUUGAGUGCCAGCACAUUUUCCUGUGUGCCUGGUUAAUAGUAUUUCUUUCCCGGAAAAAAAAAAAAAAAAAAAAAAAAGGAAUAAAAAUAUAAACAUACACUAGAUUUGCACAACGUACAGUAUGAAAUUUAGUUUUAAAGGCCUGUUUUCCAGUCCCUGUUAUAGCAACUUAACAUGAUCCUAAUUUUUUAUGUUUUUUAAAUCUAAUAAACUAAAUCCCUGAAAAUAUGGUAGAACACAAAGGUCUUCUAGCUUAAAGCAUCCAUUAGUCAAUCAGUUUUGCUUUGCUGGGUAAACAGUCUUACCUUUUUGAAAACAAGGAAGUUUAUGUUAUAAACUCCUCUUGAGAGAGCAGUCAUUACUACAAUUACAUUUGACCUUUGUUGCUUCAAUUCCAGGGAAAAUAAUCGCAAUUCACAGAGUUAAUUAAAAAUACACAAUGCUGCAGAAAAAAAAGAAAAGAAAACUGUUUGAAAAUAGGCAAAAUUGUAUUCAGUAUCUAAAGCUCCAGGUGCAUCUAUUUCUUAGAUGAUUAGAUAAUUUUAAAGUAUCUCUGCUGUUGUAAUUACAGAAGUAGUUAUUAUUCUGCAGUUUCUCAGUUUUUUAGCCACUUGAAUACUAUGGUUUUAUUCUUCUGUAAAAAUCACAUCUGUUGACAAAUUAAGUGUUCCAUAGACUGGCCUGAACUGGAACUCCACUAUUUGCAUGUCACAGUUUUUCCAGAUACUUAAGUGUAUGUGCUUGUGUAUCUGCGUACACAAAUAGAUAUACAAGUUCUCUAUGUUCACCUUGAAACUUAACCGUUAGGUUUAAUGUAGACUCCAAUGCAAUGCAACACUAAAAUACUCAAUUUGCUUUCUCUUAAGAGAUUUAAAAAUAUAAGAAUAUGAAUUAUCUAUCUGCCCUAUUUGUGGAGGCUCCUGACUAUUUUGUAACUUUAUAAACAAUAAAUUCUAAAGUAACAAAUACAAGAGUUACAGCCAAAGGGUUUAGUCACAAUUGUGAUCUUGAUAACCAUGUUCACUUGAUAAACCAGAUACAGUGCUUGUCAAGGAAAUUUAUAACUACAUACUGUGUGCACUAUAUCAAAGGGCAGUGCACUCACAGGACUCUAAUGAGGAAGUAAACAAUGCUGAGGGUCAGAUCAGUAGGCUGCAACACGCUGCUCUCCACAGAGAAAAUAAUGGCUGAAUUAAAUCCUGUAUUUGGUAGCAGCGCCACAUGAAGGAACAUAUUUUACUCUUUAGACAUAUAAGCUGUUCUAGAAAACCAUUUCCUGGCUUAUUGUCACACAGGUCUUCUAUUGAUCACAACAAAAACAACACUGUGAUUGAUCCUUCUUGCUGUAGUAUUUCCAAUAUGCUCAUAAACUAAAAGUCCAGGUACCAUUUAUGUUGAAGUUAAUGGGACGAUAUGCUUGAGCCUAGGUUACUCAAUCUAUGUACAGUUUAAUAGAACAGAGUCUAACCUCUUUAUGUCUACUGGUUUUGCUGCAAUGGAACAGAUUACUUAAAUAGUACUGCAGAUAAAAAUACUACUUGAUAAUGCUGCUUAGAUAAACCUUUCACAGUGUAUUCACAUCUCCACUGAAUCAUACUGACCAUGUAAGUUUUUACUUCCUGGCUCUAGGAGAAGAGUGGCUGUCAUAUUUAUCACCACUGUGUUCAAUGUCCAACCUUUGUUAUUUCAAGCCCUGUCUCCUUUCCUAUCAGGCUGUGCUCCAUGUCACGUAUUUAUGCUUCUCCUUGAGCUUCACUGUGAUAACUGAGAGGUUUUUAUUCCUCUUAAGAGUUUAGCUCUCCUGUUGAGACACAUCCUAGGCAAACAUGCAACCUUUUCUCUAAAUAAAACCAGUCUUUGCUUGAUCGAACUUAGCACAUUAGCAUGAAACUCAACCAGAAAUGGAAAUUCAGGAGGAAAAAGAAGGAAAAAAAAACACCAGCAAACAAACAAACGAAAAUGCAUACCGUGUAGUUAUCAAUAAAGCGACCACUUUACUCUUGUAUAUUCCUUAAAUCUGUGCUUAGUUCUCUGAACCUGAUGUACAUAUGCAGUUCCCUGCUUUUCUGCUGCAAGGAACCAUUUGACAGGGACAGCCAUGUAGCUCCUUUUAGGUGUGCAACAUGAAGUGCUGCUAGAAGGAAAGACAAACCACCUUCAUCAGCAGCGUAAGGCUAAUCUCUUUCUCAAGAUCUCCAAGCUCUGUGAUGCUUAGGAAACAAAGCUGAGAAAAUAAAGUUAAUAUUGAAAAUCUAAUUUUUUCUUGGUUAAAUAAAAGGAGGAAGUACAGAAAAUGGCAGGAAUGCCAGAUAACAUCCAACGGGUACUCAUGUGCAUACCUUCAUUAAUGCAUUCUCAGGACAUAAAAAAGCAGUAGCAAAUGCAAAUGGUAUGUACAGCACAGCCUUGAUUUGAAUGGAAAGGUGCAAGGCAGCCAUAAUUUCAUGUAAGUUCUAUGAAAUGAUAUAUGGCUUCAGGAUCUUCUGACUGACCAGUAAAAGAGAGGACUUCUAAUUUCUUUCAAUCUAUCUGUCAAAAAUCCAACCCUGUAAUUAUAUGUGGAGCAGUGGGAGUGUGGAAAUGAAAAUAAGGAAAGGAGAAGAAUUGCGCAGAGAAAAAAGAAUUGAAGCAAAUGUGGAGUGGAAUUGCUUGCAAUUUUACCAUAAGUUAAAGGAUUUUAUUCAGCAGUACACUGUAAUUUUAAUUCUGUUUUUCCUGCCAUAUACCAACUCUUGAAGAAGUUACAGAAACAAUGGGAAUUAUCGUCAUAUUCAAUUCCACCCUGAAACAAACUCCUUCACUUUUAGCUAAAUUCAGAGGUGAGAAAAAUAGACAGCUCUCCAACAUUAGUUUCACUUUUUAUUCAUUUGUUUCAACACUUCGUGUAUAUUUUUAGUAAAAUCAUAUUUGGCCUCAACCUUACGAAUUUUAAAUAACAUUGAAGCACCGUCCCAGUUGUUUUUUACAGGCUAGAUAUGAUGAGGAUCCCAAGUAUUCCUGUUAACCAAGAAUAAACUCUAGGAAUUGGAAAACAGUCCAAGUCUUGGUCUGCAGCAUUAGGUUUAUUUGCAGAGAAAUUCAACUGUAUUAACAAUUCCUCCAAUACUCUGUGGCUCUGAUGAACAUUUCAGGGAAGGUAGUGUGUAUGUUUUCACUUUUUCUUAUACAAUGGAAACAGCAGUCCUUUCAUCAAGCACAAACUACAGUACUCAUGACAUGUGGCUAUCCCCAGCCCAAAAUACAUGUCAGGGAAGGGCAGUCAGAAAGGACAGGAGAACAUUAACAUGUGAAGAAAUCCCUCCCAAGCAGAAAAGGGCAAUGCUGGAUGUGAAUAUAUGAUUAUUAAAACCGCUGGAAUGUCAAAUGUAGAACUGACUAACUUCAGGUGAGAAAAUAACUCUUUUCUGGUAACUUCACUGUUUCAAAAAAGAGUGUGAGACUUGAGAAUCAAAUUGAAAUUAGGGUAUUUUACCAGUAAUUAAUCUUGAGCAGAUUUUUCCAAACAGUGUGAAUCUUCGGUUAAAUUCCCAACUUCUUCAGUUUGUCUUUACGCUGUUAAUCUUUUUCUUUUUUCUUAGAACACCAACUCAUGGUGGCAGUUAGGAAGGAUGCAAUAGUGAUUUAAAAAAAAACUAAAAUCCAUGUAUACGUAUACUUGGAAAGCACAUCGUCAGCUAAUAAUUUUGAUUGUAUUUUAAACUUGAUCUGAAAGCAAGGGCCAUUCCUUUGAAGUAAAGAAACUUGUUGACUACAAGACCAAUCCAGUUUGCUGACAACAAAUUUUGAGCUGAUAGUCUUUGCUCAUGACAAAAUCCAUGCACACACAAUCUGUACAUUAAAUAUUAUUUGGAAUGGAAUUUUAAAUAAAUGCAAGGAAAUUGAAAGUUCUAUAUAAAUCAGCCUACAAGGAAUAAAAUAUUUAUAAUAUACUUGUCUCUAAUAAUUCACUGGUUUCUUUUUUUAGUCAUUAUGUACAUUAUUCCCAGAAUUGAAUCUGAUACAAUACGUCUGACAAAGGGAUUCAUAGCAAAAUGGUGCUACAGCUGCUUCUUUUAAACUCACCUAAUUAUAAGCUCCAGAUGUCUUUCCUUUCUGGAGACUCAAAGACAACUCUAAUUUUAUUCACACAUACUGCUUGUCUAGGAUCAGGCUACACUGCAAUUCUCUUCUACCUAGAAAACAGAACUUUGUUUACAUUUGCAUCGUUGUACGUUCUUUUGAUUUUUCUAGUUUUUUCUGAUAUGCAUAAAAAUACUGUAUAUUCAUGCUAUGAAUAUAAAUAUAUUCAGAACGGCUGCAAAACACCACAAAGAAUUAUUGUCUUAAAGCUGGCACUGAUUUCAAGCAUAUAGAACACUCACUACUAACAACCAGCAUUGCUAAGGAUCAGGGGUAAAUUGACCUGAUAAACAUCCCAAAUGAAUCACUUAAUUUCAGCAUCACACUUGAGUGGGAAAAUGCAUUCGUUCUUCUACAACAGAACUACUUUUGGACAAUGUAUAGGAAAAGUUAAUUCCAUAAACAACAUGCAAACUGCUUUUUUUUUUUUUUCAUCUUAAUUUAGAUGAGCUUAUUUUACAUGCAAAAAAAAAAAAAAAAAAAAAAAAAGAAUGCAGCUUUCACUAAAACGUCAAUAUACAGCAUGUUCUUUGCUGACAAACAAUGGAAUAGUCCAUACAUCAAAUGUAUGGACUGGCUCUUCUCCUUCCUCGAUUUCAGUUAG